rnacentral:tRNA from 1 species
GGGCUCGUAACUCAGGGGUAGAGUGCCGCCUUCGCGAGGCGGAAGCCAGGGGUUCAAAUCCCCUCGAGUCCA